UGAGUAAUAAAAUAAUAUUUUAAAAAGAUUCAAAUUGUGAGUUAAAUAUACAAAACACUUAGGUCCAAAUAUUGCAUCCGUCUAAUAUCAAACUCGAGAAUUAAAACAAAACCACAACUGCUCCAAAAAUUUAAUUUUUAAAUUGAAGUAUGUUAAAUACAUAUAUAUUCUUAAAUAUCUCUAACGUUUAAUUUCAAAAAUAUCUAUAAGGUUAAUUUUAAUCCGAGAGAUAAACUUUCUUUUUUUAAUUGAUUAAGAAUACAUGCGCACAUGCGAGAUAGAAAAGACACAUACCCUUUGACAUUCUAAGUGAUAAACAUUAUCCACAAAGAUUACAAAACCAAUUAGUACUUCACAUUAAUCAUCUAAUUGUUGGAUGUAUUUUGAGUAAUCUAUCUAAUCAAAUUCUCCUUAUUAAUUUGAAUUUGGGUAUAUGGUGUAUUGUCUAUUUGUGUUUUAGGGAGUAA
rnacentral:misc_RNA from 1 species